AAAAUGAUUCCGCAUUUUAGUUUUCUCAACAUAAUUUUGUAAGUUGACACAACUUGCAGUUUUUUUAUUUGUUGAUAUAACUGAACAUGCUAAGUUUUCACUGCCUCAACUAGUCUCAAGUUGACUGAACUAGAGUAUGUGUCGACUCAACUUAAAAACUUUUGCUGAACCAGUAAGGUUAGCAUACAAACAAUUAUCGCGAGAUCUCCUAGAGCGUGAAGAGGCGGGAGACGUUCGUCGGCCAUGAUAUGGAGAUUUCAUCGGCAGGUGUUUUGAUUCUUCAAUCAUCAUCAAAUCUGGUAAGUAGAUAUUUGUUCAUAUAGGUGUAAUAACUUGUAAAAUGACAUGUAUGAACUAAUCGUCAAUGUAUUUUUACAGUAUCAACGUUUCUAGAUCAGAUUGAUUAGACCGUUGCAAUCCAUGUUGCGUUCCCACAUAUAACCCAGUUAACAGUUAUAGUUGAUAGUCUGCAAAUUAAAGCUAAAAAAUCAAUAAAACUAGUAAUCUAGUACGUCUUUUUCUACAAUUCAUUUAACGACGUACAUUAUUUGUUGCUAAAAGGCGGGGGUGGCUGCUAGACUAAUUUUACAUGGAGGUAUAGGAUAUCUGUCCUCCCUUAUUCAAAUUAAUAUCACAAUAUUUCAAAGAAUGUGUAAUUAAGUAAAGUAAUCUGCACCGAAUUCAGUUUUUUAUGUGAAAUUUAAAUAUGGAUAAAUGCCAAAAUACAGAGCGGGAAAACGUGGUGUGGAACGUAACGCGCCUUCAUUCAUUUUCCUGUUCGUGUUCAGGUUCUUUGCGCCAAAACUAGUCAGUCUAAUCACCAUACAGGCAAAACAGCGUUGACGCGUGAGUAACGUACAGUAACAACUAGAUGGACAAAUGUAAUGUAAUUCAAUGUAAAACUGUGUAAAUGGUACGGCAGGAUUUUCAUAAACCUCCGGUGUCCGAGCUGGACGCUUAACGUGAACUGAAAAGUUAUUUAGCAGCUGAGCCGAGUCCGACGACAAAGAUGUAAGCGAUCGCUCCCAUUGCUAAAAUACUUUGAUCAUAGUACUUAUGAUAUUAUUCCGGUGUCAUUGACAUGAAUAAACAAAUUUGCGUUUAAAAACACCGUUAGAGUAGCUUUGUGUGCAAGUGAAACACGCUUUUGGCAAAUGGUAGCUUAACGUUACUGAAGUGGUUAAGUAAAACAGCUCGUGUGAUUUCACAUACUUCAUCUGCUUGUAUUUUCACAUAUAAGAUCAUAAAUCGUUUUAAUAACUCCAGGUUGGUAGUCCACGAUUUUUCUGUAUAAUUAAAUUUUGUGCCUCUUCAGACUCGUCUGUCUUCACAAAAAACACUGCGUGCACUCUAUGGACUGUUAUUUGUAACUGCAGUUGCGGCAUUACGCCACAAAGGAGGCGCUGUUUUGUUAUAAGCGCCGUGAGGCGAUGUGAAUUUGCAUUACAAGAGCUAUUAUUAGCUGUAUUUCACGGCUGUAAAUAUUUUAUCAAUUUUUCAAAGGUUCUUAAAACUAACGCGGGGUACAUCAUUGUAAUGUUUUACGCAGUGCAGUUGGUUGGUUAAAUCCGCGUUAUACUGUACACAGCGAGUUCACCAGGAACGCACAUUGUGAUCAGAACCACUCGCAAACGAAUGACUAAUUUGAACCCAUUUGUUUAAACAAUUGCAACUAUUUAGUCAGGAGAUCAGUGAAUCAUUAAAACUCAGUGAACCUCAAGAUAAUGCAGGACGUGAAUGAGCUAUUAUGGGCUGAGAAGUUAAUUGAAAAGUAUAAAAAUAUUAUAUUUUAAACACCACUUUUCUGUUUUUAAAACCUACAUGUGCGUGUUUGUACAAGAUCAGGAUGGCACCACCCUAGUCCAAACCAUUAUAGCCUAUCUGUCCUUUUUUAAGGGUUUAUCUUCAAUUUGCAAGGUAAGAGCUACUUUUCAGUUGUUUUGUGAAUACGGGCCCUGUUAUUCAGCUUUUAUUAACGAUUUUAACAUUAAAACCUAACUUUCAGUGGAAUUAAAAUUCUCUGCUCUGAUUUUUCAAAUACAUGUCAAUAAAAAUAUAUCAAGAGAUUUAGUGAGAAACUAUUACUCUAGUCCUGAUCUUUAUUGUGUGCUCUGGUUAUGAAAUGUUGAUUGACUUUAUUUUUCUUUUCUUCAUAGAAACAGUCAGUGUGGGGCAUUUACCCUUAACCAAUGAAAUGGAGCUGCAAGUUUUGCUGUUACACGCCAACUAAUCAACGUAUACUCAUAAAGCACUACAAGUUGAAGCACUGCCAUCACGCAAGUAACUGUCCACUUCCCUGCAUAUUUAAGGACUGUGUGUGUUCAUUUAGAACUGAGUUUGGUCUAAGAAAACAUUUGACUAGGGACCAUAAACAAUCUGUCCGGCUCUGUGCUGCAGCGUUUACAUUGAAGUGUGAUCUUUGUGCUUUCUCAGAGAGCUGUGGCAUUACUCAAUAUUUCACACAUUUAAAGACUCAUCUCCGAAAUCGAGAGUGUGUGAGAUGUCCUUUUCAAAACUGCAGCUUUCAGUCUAGAGUAUAUAGUUCAUUUCAUGCUCAUAAGAGUAAAAAACAUCAGCAGUGUGGAGUAACAAAUCUUCGUACAGACAUUUAUCAAGCUUGCACUCCAGGUUUUCCAGACUUUGGAAAUACUGCUUUGGAAGAAGAUUCAACAAAUUUGGAUGAUCUUGAUAUCCCAGCAUCUCCAUUAUCUUUACUGUGUGAUGAAAAUGUCCAAGACUUGCUACAUCACAAACUAGCAUCAUUCUUUCUUCGGUUGCAAACAGUUCUUCAUGUUUCCAAAGCAGCGACCCAGGAAAUUGUAAAUGAACUUGCCAGCAUUUUCUCGGUUGCAGAAGAGUUUGCUCCAAAAAUAAUUGAAGAUGUUUUGAACAAGCACAAAUGUGCAGUAAGUGAUACAGUUAUCAGUGCCAUUAAAGAGAUAAUUGUGAAAGCGAAUCCAUUGAGUUCUCUGACAAAGAGUGGACAUUUUGGCACAGAAUAUAAAAGGACAAUUUUUUACAAGGAACACUUUAAGGUGGUUGAGCCUGUUGAAUAUGUUCUAGAUGUGUCGUCUUCAAGAAAGUUUGUUUAUAUUCCUAUUUUGCAAAUAUUGUCAGAGCUGUUAAACCGUAAUGAUGUUCUAGAUAAACUUUUGCAGGCAGAAGACAGGGAAAUUUUUCCAGAUUGUGCCCAGUUUAAGUCAUACAAGGACGGCCUUUAUUGUAAAGAGAAUCAGUUGCUUUCUUCAGACAAUCUUAGUAUAGCUUUGGGAUUGUACAUAGAUGAUUUUGAAGUAUGUAAUCCAUUAGGAACAUCUAGAAAAAAACAUAAGAUCUGUGCGGUUUAUUGGGUGCUUUUAAAUUUACCAAUUCAGUAUAGAUCAUCUGUGCAAUCAAUAUAUCUGGCUUGCCUUUCCUACAGCAGUGAUGUGAAAAAAUAUGGGUACAGUGCAAUUCUUGAGCCAUUGCUAAAAGACAUAGAAGUACUAGAAAAACAAGGAAUAUAUGUUCAAAAACUGGGAGACAAUAUUCAAGGUACUGUACUUUAUGUGUCUGCUGACAAUUUGGGUGCGCACUCACUUGGUGGUUUUCAGGAAAACUUCAAUGUGGAUAAAUUUUGUAGAUUUUGUUUGGCCAGCCGCUCAAAAAUUAACAUUCAUGAAGUGAGCGACGGUGUGUUUCCAAUCAGAACAAUUGAAGGUCAUGAAAACAUCCUUCUGGAAUUAAAGGGGACAGAUUCGCUUUCUGUGGAUGGUGUAAAAAGGGACUGUGUACUCAAUAGACUCUCUCAUUUUCACACAAUUCAAGGAUUCCCUCCAGAUUUCAUGCAUGAUGUUUUAGAAGGGGUAGUACCAAAGGAACUGUGUUUAUGCCUGAAAUCUUUUAUUUCCAAACAUUAUUUUACCUUGGAUGAUCUCAACUCAAUUAUCCAGACCUUUCCUUUUAAAUGUUCUGAUAAAACUAACAGACCUCAACAAAUUCCAAAAUAUUUUACAAUAAAACGCACUAUAGGGGGUAACUGCCAUGAAAACUGGACUUUAUUGCGAUUUUUACCAUUGAUGGUUGGUGACAAAGUGCCACAUGAUGACAAAACAUGGCAAAUUGUUUUGGAACUAAAAGACAUUGUUGAACUUUUGACAUGUGGCAGUUUUUCAGAAGAGACACUGAACUACUUGGAGUUUAAAAUUUCAUCUCAUAGGUGCUUGUUAAAAGAGGUCUUUCCUGACUUUAGUCUCUUACCGAAGCAUCAUUUUCUCGAACAUUACCCUGAACUUGUUCGUAAAUUUGGACCACUGGUAGAUUUCUGGACAAUUCGCUUUGAAGCAAAGCACAGCUGUUUUAAAAGAGUGAUUCAUGAUGUUCGAAAUUUUAAAAAUAUUUUGCUCACUCUUGCUACAAAGCAUCAGCUCACGUUAGCUUAUUAUUUAGACCUACCUUGUCUCUUUAAACCUGACUUGGAAGUUGGCCAUGUUGCUUUUGUUACUGUGGACACUCUGGACCACUCUAUGAAACAGGCUAUAGAGGACAAAUUUGCAAAUAUCAGCACGGUAUCUCUUGCAAGUCAUGCAUCGCUACAUGGGACUAAGUAUGCAGAAGGAAUGUUCCUGUCUGUGGGACACACAAGUGGACUGCCUGACUUUGCCAAGUUGGUUAAGAUUUUGAUAGUGUCCAACAGAGUGUCAUUCAUCGUUGAACCUUACAUUGCAUGGUUCAUUGAGCACUUAAGGUGUUAUGAACUGGAGAAAAGACUUGCACCAGAACUAAAGGUUGUGGAACCACAUGAACUAAAUGGACAUCACCCUUUCUACCCAUAUAUGCGAGCAGGCAAAUUAAUGGUGGUACCAAAGACCUUCCUUCUUCAUUAGGGUUUUAAAGGUUUCACUUCACUUGAAAAUGCUUCUUCGAGUGAUCAUCUCUGAAAGGGACAUUCGCAAAGUCACACUUGACACUGUCCCUGACACAGUCCAUGGUCUCAAAGAGGUGCUGAGAAGCAAACUGCAGCUAACUGACUGUUUUGAUCUUCAGUAUGAGGACAAGGAUUUCAAUGAUUUUUGCAACCUUUCUUCUGUAACUGAUUUGUCCAAGGACAAGGCAACACUGAAAAUCCUGAUCAGUCCCCCAGAUACAGUUUCAGACUCUAGUUUGGACACUGCAGUAUUGCCUGUAUCCCAGUCUCCGUCAACAUCGACUCAAGUCACUAGCUCUUUCUCACAGUUGAAACAGAGUCGUUUACAUACAUGGCCUGCUGUCUUCACUAUUCCCACCUUCUCAUAUGAUGUGGAGCUGAGACUAAAGCAUGGUAACGAGGCUUACAGUAAAGAUGGAACUCUUCUGAAAAUGUCUCGUGACAUGCAGACAGAAAUACUGGAUAAACUUGCUGAAGGAGUGUUUGCUUACAAAGCUUACCCAGACAAAGAGGAAAUCAAAAGUGUGGCCAUUGCACUUGUUGAAAAACACCCUUGUCUGAAAGAAAGAGGAUCCGCAGCUGGGUGGUAUGGUUGGAAAUUAAGUUUGACGUGGAAGAUGGGAAACUACAGGUCAAAACUAAGAGAUGCAGGUUGUAAUGAACUCCAAGUGAAUUCUACAAAGAGGGGUACAGGGGGAGUCCAAGGACAACAAAACAAAGUGAAGAAGCCAAAAAGAUCUGAAACAAACUUUCUCCCAGAUCUCCCUGCAGGCAGAGACCAGAAAACACUGGAACACGAAAGGGAACUGAUGUGCCAAGAGAUGAAAAAAAGAAGUCCUGACAUGAGUUUUGUGGAUGCAUCCAUGAGCAGCACAUAUGCUCUACGAAGACAGGAAAUCAUUUAUGAAGAGCCUCCAGUGUCUGAAAUGAAGAAGAGGUGGCCGGCUCUUUUUUGUGAAAGACAGAUCAGUGCGGAAUUCAACAGGCUAAUGACGCUGGACCUGAGCAAGUCUUUCUAUGAGGGUAUUGACCGCCAUCUACCAAAGCUGCUGUGUCUGUACCGUUCAAAGCGCUGUAUGGACAUUGUAGAAAUGAGGGCCAUAAUGGACAGCCUAGAUAAAAAUGCAUCAAAUCAACGGAAGAGGAUUGCAGUACUGCAGGGACUGCCAUGGAUCAUGCGCGAGAAUCCUUCACAAUUCGUCAAGAUCUGUGAGCAUCUUCAACGUAGUCACCCUUUGACUAAAAUUUGCUAAAUCGUACACUUGGCAUUUAUCAUUCAGCUUCUUCGGGUCUCAACUUGGUAAGCUUUUUAAACCGUAUUGAAGGAAAUUCCUUUUUUGUUGGACUCUAAUUGACAGUUUUCGUUUUAUUAAUUUUUUUAACAUUUUUGUAAAGUCUGAAGUUUUUUAAUCUGAAAGUUUUACAUAAUUGAUAUUGCAUAUAGGAAUUUAUAGUCUGUUUAAUUUUUGACUUGUGUUUCUCUCUGUGCGUGUGUCUGUGUGCGCACGUGCUUGUCUGUGCGCGUGCUUGUCUGUGUGUGUCUGCGCGUCCGUGUGUGUCUGUGUGUUAGUACGUGUGCAUAUUGUGUGUGUGUGUGGAGCGUUUGUAUGUGGGUAUGUCUGUCUUCUGUGCUUUCACCUGUUUUUACAGGUAUAACUUUAAUUGUUUUGCUUAUAGUCAAUAUGUCUCAUGUACAGCUGCUUUGUAACAAUGAAAAUUGUAAAAAGCACUAUAUAAAUAAAGUUGAGUUGAGUAAAUGUUGACAUUUCUGUACAUCCCCAUGAAAAACAAUUAUUAAUUAUUGAGAACUAUUCUGAUGGUGCAUUCGAUGCAUUGCUGCCACACACAUUCCUGUUUUAACAACAUAUCUCAUUAUUACAAAAUAAUUAAGUGGAAUAAAUAAUGUGUGGCAACAAUGCAUCAGCGUAGUUAUUCGAGCACCACUUGUCAUGAAAGUACAUGUUGGCUUUAAAAUAAGGUAUGAUUUGUUGAAGGUAAAUAAGAUUUGGUGUACUCAUGUUGUGUUCAAGUCUUUGAUGUUUAGUGUUGUAUGUGUGAAAGCACAUUUUGAAGUUUGUCAUUUUCUUAAAUACAGCACACAGAUUCUGAAGAAGAGAUGACCAGGGGCAUGACUCUUGGAAUCCUCACAGUGGUGGCAGAUGUUACAGACCCCAUUCCAUGCAGCUCUAGUGAUGUGGCCCUUGUAAUCGAGGAAGCAGUUGUUCUGCGAGGACUUGGUGACAUACCAAAUGCGUAUGUGAACAUGAUGGGAUUGCUGUAUGCUCUCAACAUAAACUACCCAAAAAACCUCAGAUACACCUUUGAGGUGAUUCAGAGGCUGCUGAUGAACAUCAGUGCUGAUACUUGUAGUUCAAGAGUGCACUCGCUUAAAAAUACAUUGUUGAAUUAAAGAUGUUGAGGUAAGGUGUUAUGCAUUUAUUCCAAGAAUCUGUUUAAAUUUUACUUGGAAAAGUUUUUAAGCUUUCAUUUGUUUUAAAGUUAUUUCGUAAUUAUAGUGGUUUCAUUAAUGUGAAAAAUCUUAUUGUUAGAUCCUUAAUCUCAUAUUGCUCCAAAAUUUAAAGGCCCUUCAUUUAUCUUUGAAACAUACUUUUUUCAUGUAUUGUUUUAUUUGACAGAUUUCUUAUUUGUUUUAUUUGAGAAAUUGUUUUGUUAUUUUUCAGUAUUUUCUAUAUUCUUUAUAAUGUACAGUAUAUUUUUUAGUUUGUUUUUACAGAUUAAGAAUUGUUUGCAUUUCUACUAAGAGAAAAGUUUUGUAUUUCCAAAGUUGUGUGUGUAUUUGUUUUCUAGUUUUCAUGCAUGAAAUGAGUGAGUAACUGAAGUAGAUGUGUAAUUUUGUGUAUGUAACGCUUUAAAUGUGACACUUUAUGUUUUCAGCUAUGUUUACAAAGCUAUUUUAUAGUUAAGGUUUUUUCAUGUGAAUGUUCACAAAUGUUAACCAUUUUUAAAUGUUAAAAAUGUAACUAUUUAAGCAGUUUUGUCCUUGACAUUUAUUAAUAUGUAACGGACAAUAAAAUCAUUUAAAUGGAAAAUAUCUGCUAUUUAUUUGGUUGAAUGUGCUAUUGCAAGUUGAGAAAAUAUGCCAGAUUAAGUUCAAAGAACAUACAUUUUAGUAUAGAUAACUUGAAAAUGUAAGUUAACGUGUUUCAAAUAAACUUUGCAAGUCCAGGCAACUUGAAAUAAGUUGUUGGAUCAAAUAGUUUAAUUAUGUCAACUAAACGUUUUAAGUUGAAAAUACUUAAUAUUUUAAGUAAAUUAAACUUAACUUAUUAAGUGCAAAAAGAUAACUAGAAAUUUUAAGUUGAGUAAACAAAUUUUUUUUU